rnacentral:lncRNA from 1 species
AAUAGAUCAGCAAAAAAAGAUUUAAAAAAAUUUUAAAAAGUGCUGUUUAAGGCAUAUGCCUGUAGGAGGUCAACCUUGAGUGUUUAGACACAAGAGCUCCUGAGACAUUAAACCCUGGAGUAGAUCAUGGGAGACCUGACAACCACGUGUAAGUGAGUAUAAGGUUCCCCUUCAUCAUUCUCCAGUGAAUAUUGGUGGAAGUGUUCAUUGGCUCAAACCAGCAUGUGUAUGAUGACAUAGGAUUCAGUGACGUUUGAUGAUGUGGCUGUGGACUUCACCCCAGAGGAGUGGGCUUUACUGGACACAACUGAGAAAUACCUCUACAGAGAUGUGAUGCUGGAGAACUACAUGAACCUGGCCUCUGUGGAAUGGGAAAUACAACCUAGAACCAAACGGUCAUCACUUCAGCAGGGUUUUUUGAAGAAUCAAAUAUUCAGUGGGAUACAAAUGACAAGAGGCUACAGUGGAUGGAAACUCUGUGACUGUAAGAAUUGUGGAGAGGUCUUCAGGGAACAGUUUUGCCUUAAGACACACAUGAGAGUUCAGAAUGGAGGGAAUACUUCUGAGGGUAAUUGUUAU